rnacentral:rRNA from 1 species
UACGUAGGGUGCAAGCGUUGUCCGGAAUUAUUGGGCGUAAAGAGCUCGUAGGCGGUCUGUCGCGUCGGCUGUGAAAACUCGAGGCUCAACCUCGGGCCUGCAGUCGAUACGGGCAGACUAGAGUUCGGUAGGGGAGACUGGAAUUCCUGGUGUAGCGGUGAAAUGCGCAGAUAUCAGGAGGAACACCGGUGGCGAAGGCGGGUCUCUGGGCCGAAACUGACGCUGAGGAGCGAAAGCGUGGGGAGCGAACAGG